rnacentral:rRNA from 1 species
UACGUAGGGGGCAAGCGUUGUCCGGAAUUAUUGGGCGUAAAGAGCGCGUAGGCGGUCCGGUAAGUCGGUUGUGAAAGUCGGGGGCUCAACCCUCGGAUGCCGAUCGAUACUGUCGGGCUAGAGUCCGGAAGAGGCGAGUGGAAUUCCUGGUGUAGCGGUGAAAUGCGCAGAUAUCAGGAGGAACACCAAUGGCGAAGGCAGCUCGCUGGGACGAUACUGACGCUGAGGAGCGAAAGCGUGGGGAGCGAACAGG